AAAUGAAUAGACGGGGGCCCGCACAAGCGGAGGAACAUGUGGUUUAAUUCGAUGAUACGCGAGGAACCUUACCUGGGCUUAAAUGUAGAUUGCAUGGAUUGGAGACAGUCCUUCCCUUCGGGGCUAUUUACAAGGUGCUGCAUGGUUGUCGUCAGCUCGUGCCGUGAGGUGUCGGGUUAAGUCCCAUAACGAGCGCAACCCUUACCGUUAGUUGCCAUCGGGUCAAGCCGGGAACUCUAGCGGGACUGCCGCCGUAAGGUGAGAGGAAGGCGGGGAUGACGUCAAAUCAGCACGGCCCUUAUGUCCAGGGCUACACACGUGUUACAAUGGCCGGUACAGAGGGCAGCUACUACGCGAGUAGAUGCUAAUCCCGAAAGCCGGUCUCAGUUCGGAUUGGAGUCUGCAACCCGACUCCAUGAAGUUGGAUUCGCUAGUAAUCGCGCAUCAGCCAUGGCGCGGUGAAUACGUUCCCGGGCCUUGUACACACCGCCCGU
rnacentral:rRNA from 1 species